rnacentral:rRNA from 1 species
UACAGAGGUGUCAAACGUUGUCCGGAAUUACUGGGCGUAAAGGGCGCGUAGGCGGCCUUAUAAGUCAUAUGUGAAAGCUCUGGGCUCAACCCAGGAAUUGCAUGUGAUACUGUAAGGCUUGAGUUCGGUAGAGGAGGGCGGAAUUCCAGGUGUAGCGGUGAAAUGCGUAGAUAUCUGGAGGAACACCCGUGGCGAAGGCGGCUCUCUGGUCCGAAACUGACGCUGAGGUGCGAAAGCUAGGGUAGCAAACAGG